rnacentral:rRNA from 1 species
UACGUAGGGGGCAAGCGUUGUCCGGAUUUAUUGGGCGUAAAGAGCGUGUAGGCGGUUUGGUAGGUCCGUUGUGAAAACUCGAGGCUCAACCUCGAGACGCCGAUGGAAACCAUCAGACUAGAGUCCGGAAGAGGAGAGUGGAAUUCCUGGUGUAGCGGUGAAAUGCGCAGAUAUCAGGAGGAACACCGAUGGCGAAGGCAGGUCUCUGGGCUGACACUGACGCUCAUGCACGAAAGCGUGGGGAGCAAACAGG